rnacentral:rRNA from 1 species
CAACGGGGCGUCAUAGAGGGUGAGAAUCCCGUACGCGACCGCCCGCCAACUCGAUGCGAGGCCCUUUCGACGAGUCGAGUUGUUUGGGAAUGCAGCUCAAAAUGGGUGGUAAAUUUCAUCUAAAGCUAAAUACCGGCCAGAGACCGAUAGCGCACAAGUAGAGUGAUCGAAAGAUGAAAAGCACUUUGGAAAGAGAGUUAAAAAGUAUGUGAAAUUGUUGAAGGGGAAGCGCUUGCAACCAGACUCGCCCGCGGGUGAUCAGCCUCCCUCCGGGGUGGUGCACUCAUCCGCGAUCGGGCCAGCAUCGGUUUCGACCGCCGGAAGAAGGCUCGGGGAACGUAGCUCCCUCCGGGGAGUGUUAUAGCCCCUUGCGCAAUGCGGCGUGCCGGGACCGAGGACCGCGCGUAUGCAAGGAUGCUGGCGUAAUGGUUGCCAGCGACCCGUCUUGAAACACGGACCAAGGAGUCGACCAACCAUGCGAGUGUUUGGGCGCCAAACCCACACGCGUAAUGAAAGUGAACGGGGUGGGAGCCCUCUUCUGGGUGCACCAUCGACCGAUCCUGAUGUCUUCGGAUGGAUUUGAGUAUGAGCAAGGCUGGUCGGACCCGAAAGAUGGUGAACUAUGCCUGAGUAGGGUGAAGUCAGGGGAAACCCUGAUGGAGGCUCGCAGCGGUUCUGACGUGCAAAUCGAUCGUCAAACUUGGGUAUAGGGGCGAAAGACUAAUCGAACCAUCUAGUAGCUGGUUCCUGCCGAAGUUUCCCUCAGGAUAGCAGUAACUUUUUCAGUUUUAUGAGGUAAAGCGAAUGAUUAGAGGUCUGGGGGCAGAAACUGCCUUCACCUAUUCUCAAACUUUGAAUAUGUAAGAAGUCCUUGUUGCUUAGUUGAACGUGGACAUUGAAUGUACAG